rnacentral:lncRNA from 1 species
UAAUUUAAUUUUUGAACUUAACACAGUGUAUGUAAGUUGGGCCAAUUAGUCUCAAAAUCAAGCAUGUCAUCAAUUAAUUUAAUAGUUGAUUAGUACAAACAUCUAAGGUACAUUUCCUUAUCAAUUUCAUUGUAAAAAUUUUCAAUUUUCCUUUCAAUAUGUUUAAAAUAUUCAUGUUUCAACGUCAGCUGUCAACGUCAACGCAGAACAGAUAAAAGCAGAUUUGAAUAUCCGACCUUGUCAGUCAGCUGUUGUUACUAGGCCAAGGAUGGACGGGUGAUAUCGACACCCGGACCAUGAAAAAAUUUAUAUGUUUUUUUUGUGCAACGUGUAUGUGGCCGUUUCUUUCUGUUUUUUUUGCUGUUUGCUGUUGUACGGAGGACUAAGCUAGCAUUCAAAAUUUAAAAAUCAAAUGUACAUUCCUAAGAUGCACUUUUUUACACCUCUAUGUAGCGGUACUUUUUUAGUAUUUGACCAUUAGCUCCGAUGAUGACGUUUAUGUCGAAAGCGCUCAGCUAAGGAAAUAAAAUUAUUUACACACUUUGACAUACUACAUUUUCAUUUUCCCUUAUUCAUUCAAGUGUGUACAAACUUAUCAGUCUUUCAACUAUAUUUAUAAAUUGUAUUGGUAAUCAAAUUAUGUAAAUCAAAGCAUUACUACCUACAUUUUUCAAAUAGGUAUGUAGGUCCUAAUCUUUUAUUACAAUGCUGAAACGUUUAAAAUUACGUACCUGUUGCUUUUAAAAACUAUUUAAAAAGUCACUACAAUUAUAAACUUGCUUUUUGUGUCUGUCCUCACAACAAUAAAAACUAAUAUACUACAUACAAUUUGUUUACCCAUAACCAUUGACGUAUUAAUAAAAUAACCGACAUAUUGAACAAUUGUUGACAGGUCAUUGUAAUUACCCAAUCAGAGGACGUAUAACGUUCAAGCUGUGCCGGGCACCAAGAUUUUGAUGAUUUCGCGCACAUAUAAAUUUACUCCCAACGCGCCUAAAGAAGUAUAACUUCAAAAAUUGUAUCUCGCGCGUAAUUGACAUUCAAAAUCGCCGGUCGCUUCAAUCUUUGUUUCUGAGAGAACAGUUCAUUCUACACAAAAAUUUCAGCUACAUUUUUUUUCUUUGAAACAUUUUUUUCUACGGCGUACAGAUUCUUGGUACUUAAAUUGAUAUUUUCCCUGCCACCCCUAAGGGGGGGGGGUUAGGGGGAAAGCCAUGGAGUAAGAGUGGCGAACUUUUUUGCAUCUUUUUUGGAGUCCCAAAAUUGACAUUCUCAGCAAAAUUGAGCAUGCUCGUAUGAUUUUUACAGGUUCAGAUUUUCAUCUCUGACGAGUGGACUAUAACGAGUUUUAUCAUGAUCAACUUAAGUCAAUAAAUGCUUGAGCAGUAGUCUUUAAGAAUUACCUAUUAUAUCGAAGACAAUUAUUUAGGUAGAGAGUAGUGUUAGUGUGAAGUGAUAACGUAAACAAACACCAAAUUUUGAUACUUUGGAUUUUAUAAAUUUUCGGUGAUAGUUCGCACACCAAUUGUUAGCUUUACCGGAUAAUAUUACCAUUGUUAUAGAGGUUAAAUAAAAUUACAUUUGGUUUA